AUUGUAAUGUAGCCAAAGACUGUUCCAAGCCAGUAUAAAUACAGAGGACAAU
rnacentral:ribozyme from 2 species